CCAGACUCCUACGGGAGGCAGCAGUAGGGAAUCUUCGGCAAUGGACGGAAGUCUGACCGAGCAACGCCGCGUGAGUGAAGAAGGUUUUCGGAUCGUAAAGCUCUGUUGUAAGAGAAGAACGAGUGUGAGAGUGGAAAGUUCACACUGUGACGGUAUCUUACCAGAAAGGGACGGCUAACUACGUGCCAGCAGCCGCGGUAAUACGUAGGUCCCGAGCGUUGUCCGGAUUUAUUGGGCGUAAAGCGAGCGCAGGCGGUUAGAUAAGUCUGAAGUUAAAGGCUGUGGCUUAACCAUAGUACGCUUUGGAAACUGUUUAACUUGAGUGCAAGAGGGGAGAGUGGAAUUCCAUGUGUAGCGGUGAAAUGCGUAGAUAUAUGGAGGAACACCGGUGGCGAAAGCGGCUCUCUGGCUUGUAACUGACGCUGAGGCUCGAAAGCGUGGGGAGCAAACAGGAUUAGAUACCCUGGUAGUCCACGCCGUAAACGAUGAGUGCUAGGUGUUAGACCCUUUCCGGGGUUUAGUGCCGCAGCUAACGCAUUAAGCACUCCGCCUGGGGAGUACGACCGCAAGGUUGAAACUCAAAGGAAUUGACGGAGCCCCGCACAAG
rnacentral:rRNA from 1 species